UACGAAUGGGGCAAGCGUUGUUCGGAAUCACUGGGCUUAAAGCGUGCGCAGGCGGCCAUGCAAGUCAGAAGUGAAAUCCCGGGGCUCAACCCCGGAAUUGCUUUUGAAACUGCAUGGCUAGAAUACCGGAGAGGUUGGGAGAAUUCCUAGUGUAGAGGUGAAAUUCGCAGAUAUUAGGAGGAAUACCAGUGGCGUAGGCGCCCAACUGGACGGUUAUUGACGCUCAGGCACGAAAGCAUGGGGAGCAAACAGG
rnacentral:misc_RNA from 1 species